rnacentral:rRNA from 1 species
UGAACGCUGGCGGCAGGCCUAACACAUGCAAGUCGAACGGUAACAGGAAGAAGCUUGCUUCUUUGCUGACGAGUGGCGGACGGGUGAGUAAUGUCUGGGAAACUGCCUGAUGGAGGGGGAUAACUACUGGAAACGGUAGCUAAUACCGCAUAACGUCGCAAGACCAAAGAGGGGGACCUUCGGGCCUCUUGCCAUCGGAUGUGCCCAGAUGGGAUUAGCUAGUAGGUGGGGUAACGGCUCACCUAGGCGACGAUCCCUAGCUGGUCUGAGAGGAUGACCAGCCACACCGGAACUGAGACACGGUCCAGACUCCUACGGGAGGCAGCAGUGGGGAAUAUUGCACAAUGGGCGCAAGCCUGAUGCAGCCAUGCCGCGUGUAUGAAGAAGGCCUUCGGGUUGUAAAGUACUUUCAGCGGGGAGGAAGGGAGUAAAGUUAAUACCUUUGCUCAUUGACGUUACCCGCAGAAGAAGCACCGGCUAACUCCGUGCCAGCAGCCGCGGUAAUACGGAGGGUGCAAGCGUUAAUCGGAAUUACUGGGCGUAAAGCGCACGCAGGCGGUUUGUUAAGUCAGAUGUAAAAUCC